UGGGGAAUAUUGGACAAUGGGCGAAAGCCUGAUCCAGCCAUGCCGCGUGUGUGAAGAAGGUCCUUGGAUUGUAAAGCACUUUAAGUGGGGAGGAAGGGCAGUAAGCGAAUACCUUGCUGUUUUGACGUUACCGACAGAAUAAGCACCGGCUAACUCUGUGCCAGCAGCCGCGGUAAUACAGAGGGUGCAAGCGUUAAUCGGAAUUACUGGGCGUAAAGCGCGCGUAGGUGGUUCGUUAAGUUGAAUGUGAAAGCCCCGGGCUCAACCUGGGCACUGCAUCCCACACUGGCGGGCUAGCGUAGUGCAGAGCGAGGUGGAAUUUCCUGUGUAGCGGUGCAAUGCGUAGAUAUAAGAAGAAACACCAGUGUCGAAGGCGACCACCUGGGCUCCUACUGACACUGAGAUGCGAAAGCGUGGGGAGCAAACAGG
rnacentral:rRNA from 1 species